GCCGGUUGCGCCGCCAGUGGAUAGUCGCCCUGUUUCCGCGCCGCCACCCAACCCCAGCCAACCCGUGCGCUCGCCAGUGCCAGCCGCUCGUCCUCCUCCGCGGUCGCCGUUGCGCGCUUCACUUCUCCGUUAGCUGGUGCCGGUCGGCGCUACUGCCCCAACAGCCAAGUGCGAUCCAGUCGGGAGGGGGAAUUUGACUUCCCGUCGCCGUCUUCCCCAAAUUACACCCGCCGACUAAUCCCCACUGAUGAGUGGCGAAGCAGGCAUGCCCCAUCAAUCAGACACUUCUUCCUGCUCAGAUGAUUCCGAAGAUAGAAACACCAUCUACCCAGCAGGCAAAUACACUAUGGAAGAAUUCACUGCUGAGCACAGUGUCCUGCACAAUUUACUUAGGCGGAUCAAUGUGAAAAUUCAGGCCAAAAUCAAAGCACGGCAAGGUGGUACAUCUCGCCGCCGGAAAGGUUUUAAUAGGAGAGUCAUAGAGAGAGAUCAUGGAGAGGGUCAUCAACGGCUUGUUACUGACUUCUUUUCUGAUGAUCCAGUCUAUGAUGAAAAAAUAUUCAGAACAAGGUAUCGGAUGAGUAGACCCCUCUUUCUACGUAUUGUCCGUGCGCUAGGCGAGUGGUCUCCCUAUUUCACCAAAAGGGCAGAUAUCUGUUGUCGCCAAGGGUUAUCACCUUUGCAGAAGUGCACAGCCGCUAUUCGUAUGUUAGCUCGUGGCUCCCCGGCAGAUGCUAUUGACGAAUAUGUACAGAUUGGUACGAGCACAGCAAUGGAGUGUUUGGAGCGGUUUGCAGAAGGGGUGAUUGACAAGUUUGGCGGAGAAUAUUUGCGAGGCCCUACUAGUGUUGAUAUGCAGCGUCUACUACAAAUUGGUGAAGGCUAUGGCUUCCCUGGCAUGUUGGGAAGCAUUGGUUGUCUGCACUGGGAGUGGGAAAAUUGCCCUCCUAAAUGGAUGCGUCGUCUUAAUCAUAGUGACCACGGCUUUGCCACAUUUGUUCUUGAAGCUGUUGCUUCACAAGACCUCUGGAUAUGGCAUGCUUGUUUCAAUGUUGUUGGGUCCAUCAAUGACAUCAGUGUUCUCGAUCAAUCACCGUUGUUUACGGAAGUCUUGAAAGGACAAGCUCCCCCGGUGCAGUUCUCCAUCAAUAAGAGUCAAUAUGAUAUGGGAUACUACCUUGCUGAUGAAAUUUAUCCAGAAAGCACUAUAUUUGUGAAGACGAUACCCUUCCCUCGAACAGAAAAGGAACGAUUGUUUGCUAAACAUCAAGAAGAGGCAAGGAAGGAUGUUCAGUGUGCAUUUGGAGUCCUGCAAUCUCGUUUCCCCAUUGUUCGUGGUCCAAUUCGCUUUUUCCAACGAGCAACUCUUGGAAAAAUCCUGGAAGCCUGUGUCAUACUCCAUAACAUGGCAGUUGAGGAUGAGAAAGACAUGGCAAGUGCUUAUUCUGAACCAAACGAAGCUUCAGGUAUAACGGUUGUUUUACCAUCAAACAUCAAAACUGGGCCUGCCAAUUGCUUAACUAAUGUACUCCAGAGGACUGCCACUAUUUGUAGUCAAGCAACACAUGGCCAGCUAAGAAGGGAUUUAAUUGAGCAUAUCUGGCAGCAGUUUGGGCCAUUUGGUGACAAGUAAUAAGUUCUAAUAUUAUUAGUGUACGAAGUCAUGUCGCUUGGUGGGUCACUGGGGGCUGGUGAUCCGUCUGUUUCAUUGACAUCUAUGUGCUGUAUCAUAUAUAACAGAGAAACCAGUCUUUCAUGUGCUGUUAUCAAAAUUAUCGUAGUGUGCAAGAGAGUGUUGCUAAUAUUUCGAAUUGGCCACUCAUCGUUGUGCAGGCUACAAUAUGCUGUGUAAAUGGCUUUUUGAAAAAAAAAAUGCCAAAUGGCAGGAUAUAAUGAGACACUGCAUCUGACUGUGAACUAUCAAUUCUGCCACUGGAAAUUGGAAAAACAAAUCGCUUAUAUUUUCGUUCUCUUACAGAAGCAAAUCCUUUCAUCAGCAGCUUAUCAGUCGUCAAAACAGAGUUUCAGUAAGAAGCCAUAGAAAUGUGAAGUAUUAUGCUUCACUCUGUGCCUUUGCUGUACUCUAUUCUAUAAAGAUUUCAGUGAAGUAUUAUGCUUCCGAAGUAAAAGAUCAUCUUCAUCGCCCUAGCUCAUUAGCCUGUGGCAUACCUGAGUUACCUGGUGCAACUGAAUAUCGGGAUAAGGCUGAAAUGAACAGAAGUUUCCGCUGACAACAUAUUAUGCAGAAAUCUAGCCCUUGUGGUCCUAUAUAAUUUUUUUAUGAUAUUUUUUUUAUCAACACUUUGAAAUUUUGCUUGCAGUAGGUGUCUUAUCGAAUAGGGUCGGCAUACCUCGUCUUUAAUAUUUUUUUUAAUGUGACGAUAAUUGCCAAUCUUGCAAUAAUACUGUACGAUCUGCAAUAAAUAAUACUAACCCGAUUUUACUGAGUAGCCUUGCAUAAUGCGUAGUUAGUGUUAGAGGCGUUUGGAUUCUCUAUACAUUUUAGAGGAAUUAAAAUCUACUUAAUAAACUAGGUUAUUUGGCUUAGAAUUUGACAUCCAACUACUUUCCAAAGUUUAGAUAUAAGUCUAUUCUAAAUUCAUAAAUUCAUAAGAUGGGAGAUGGAAAUUGAUUCUACACAAUAACAAGUUAUAUUUCUAUUCCGUAACUUAUAACAUGCUUUUUGGCUCACUUCUCUAUAGUAGAAAUAUAUCGUAAAUAUAUCGUACAAGUAUCUUCCUCGUAUGGUUAACAAUAGUAUACAAAUAUAUUCUGUAUAUAAUGAUAUUAGCUUAAUAUAUUUGUAUCUAAAUUAUGAUUAUUAGAAUGGAAUUCAAUUCUAAGUUCCAAAUGGGGAACCGGUGGCCGCUCCUCUGCCUCUCUAUCCACCACCGCUCGCGGCUCGCCGCGCUACUCCGUGAGCCGGUCGGCGCCGGUUCCUGAAGUCGGUGAGGGGUGAUCCCAGCCGGGACCGGCCAUUUUGCGUUUGACGUCUCCUCCUUGAUGAGCGCCGAAGCAGAUAACCAUUUUUCUCUUCAUCUUAUUCUCGUGGGAUUAUAUCUGAUCCAAUGCCACUCCCGCCUGUUUUGCUUCAGAUUUUGAGAUUUUUAUUAGUUGGAUUAGUUAAGGUAGUGUCCAAUUGCUCAUUUAGUUGGCUUCCACAGAACAUUACUGUCACAGCUUCACAGUAGCUGAUGAAUGGGUCGUAUUAAGGUUAUAGUAUACUAAUACAUGGUAGCGUAGCAUCCAUAAAGCGCAUAGAGAUUUACCUUUAUAGUGUAGUGUAUCUGGGUAAUUUGGAAGUAGAAUCCAUAGCUACAGAAUAGGGGCCCAUGGAUGGUGGAUUAAGUUCAGGGGCAGUGUGAUCUUUUAUAAUGUUGGCUAUUGCACUGUUGUUUGUUAUCCUUUCUUUGCAGUAGAUCAACUGGUUCCUAUAUAAUUGCUUGGACAAUAAUAGCCUAGAAUCCAACUUUGCUGCUUACCGUCAUCCUCAUAUGGGAAUGGGAUAAUAGGAGCAUGCCACCUGUUCAAGGGAAACAUGAGCCAUUUGUUUAUCUUUGCAGGUAUCCCUAUCAAUCAGACACGCCUUCUUGCUCGGAUGAUUCUGAAGAUAUUGACGGUGUUGAUCCAACUGGCAUAUACACUAUGGAAGAAUUCAUCACUGAGCAAAGUGUAUUGCACAAUUUUCUUGAGCGGAUCUUUGUGAAGAUUCAAUCCAAAAUUGAAGCUCAACAAACUGGUACAUCUCGCCACCGGAGUGGCAGUAGGAGGUUUGUUGGGAGAAAUCAUGAACAGGGCCAUGAAUGGCUUGUGGCUGAUUUCUUUUCUGAAAAUCCCAUCUGUAACGACCAACUCUUCCGAACAAGGUACCGGAUGAGAAGACCCCUCUUUCUCCGUAUCGUCCGUGCCCUAGGUGACUGGUCUCCCUAUUUCACCAGGAGGAGGGAUGGUUUUUAUCGCCAAGGGCUCUCACCUCUGCAGAAGUGCACAGCGGCUAUUCGUAUGUUAGCUUGUGGAUCCCCUGCAGAUGCUGUUGAUGAAUAUGUACAGAUUGGUGAGAGUACAGCAAUGGAAUGUUUGGAGCGUUUUGCAGAAGGGCUGAUUGACCAGUUUGGCGGCGAAUAUUUGCGAUGCCCAACUAGUGCUGAUAUGCAGCAUCUACUACAAAUCGGUGAGGAAUGUGGCUUCCCAGGUUUGCUGGGAAGCGUUGGCUGUAUGCACUGGGAGUGGGAUGAUUGCCCACCUAAAUGGAUGCGUCGACUUAAUCAUAGUGAUUAUGGUGCAGCCACAAUGUUUCUUGAUGCUGUUGCUUCGCAAGACCUCUGGAUAUGGCAUGGUAUCUUUGGUGUUGUUGGGUCCAACAGUGACAUCAUUAUGCUCAAUCAAUCAUUAUUCUUCACUGAGGUGUUGAAAGGGCAAGCUCCUCGGGUGCAAUUUUCCAUCAACGAGAGACAAUAUGAUAUGGGCUACUAUCUUGUUGAUGGGAUCUACCCAGAAUGGACUGCAUUCGUGAAGACAAUACCUCACCCUCAAACAGAAAAGGAAAGAUUGUUUGCACAAUAUCCAGAAGAGGCAAGGAAAGGUACCCAACGAGCAUUUGGAAUCCUGCGAUCACGUUUUCCCACUGUUUGUGGUCCAAUACGUUUUUUCCAACGAGCUACUCUUGGAAAAAUCAUACAAGCUUGCAUCAUACUCCAUAACAUGACAAUUGAAGACGAGAAAGACAUGGCAAGUGCUUAUUUUGAACCAAGAGAACCUUCAGGCAUAUCUGCUAUUCUACCAUCAAACAUACACAAUGGCCCUGCCGAUUGCUUUGCCACUGUACUCCAGAGAAAUGGUACUAUUUGUGCUCAACCAGCAGAAAACCAAAUAAGAAGGGACUUAAUUGAUCAUAUUUGGCAGCAAUUUGGGCCUUCUGGCGAUGAAUGAAAUAAGUCUUCCUAGUUUAAAUCGAGUUACAUUGUGGCCCCACAAAAAAGUUGAAUUACGUUGUCAUGUCCUUUGGUGGAUGAUUGGCAUAUCUCUUCUGUUAAUCUUAUUUAAAUUUCAUUAUCUUUGCCUCCAUUCAUAAUUAA